UACGGAGGGUGCACGCGUUGUUCGGAAUCAUUGGGCGUAAAGCGCGUGUAGGCGGCUUGGCAAGUCAGUUGUGAAAGCCCGGGGCCCAACCCCGGAACUGCAUCUGAAACUGCCUGGCUAGAGUCCCGGAGAGGAAGGCAGAAUUCCCGGUGUAGGGGUGAAAUCCGUAGAUAUCGGGAGGAAUCCCAGCGGCGAAGGCGGCCUUCUGGUCGGUGACUGACGCUGAGACGCGAAAGCGUGGGGAGCAAACAGG
rnacentral:rRNA from 1 species